GGGGGCGAAAUAGGUUCGACGGGGGAGGAUUCAUCCAGGAAAGCGAGCCGAGGUUGCGGUCGACCUCGUUAAACAGGCCGCAAACAAUAAGUGCCAACGAGAAGUACGCUCUCGCUGCGUAAGCAGCGCGCGGCCUAAGGCCGCGAUCGCUCCUCCGGACUGCGGGCACCGUGCGCCGGAGUUGUAGCGUCAACCCAACGGGCUGUUCCGACCGGGGGCACCGCGGCCCCGGACGGCGAGGAUCCCACCGCGGUUGGCCCGGACUGCAGCCCGCCGUCAGGCGGCAGACCGGGCGAGAUGCAAAGUGACGGCUGCGCUCGGAGACGUCCUGGUUGAAUCUCCUUCGGACGCGGGAGGCAGAGCCCGCCGCCUCCACCA
rnacentral:tmRNA from 2 species